rnacentral:lncRNA from 1 species
GAAAAUUUCUUAACUCGAAAAAUGACCAAAUUAAGUAGAAUUUAAAGUACAAUCUGAGUCAUCAACUUGAAAGAUACAAAAGAAACUAGUCUAAGGUACCAAGUUAAGAACCAUCCUCACAAAAGUUAAUCCACCAGCAAGCGUAGAGAUGAAGCUUUAAACUUAAAUGUGACUAAAAAUCUUCAUUCAUCACCAUGUUUAGCAACUACAUUUCCAUCUCCCUUGUCGUCAAGUUCAUCAUCAGAAGCACGCAACACUGCUAAAAGG